rnacentral:lncRNA from 1 species
AUUAAUUAAUUUGAAUAAUACACUUUCAAAUGAAUUAAAUCACUUAAACAAGUAAUUAGUUCGUCUUAAAACUACUAAAAUCCCCCAAACAUAAAGGGUUAUUCUACUUUUAUUGUUUGGACAGAAUUCUAUCACCCAAGAAUGGCUCAAACAUAAAUCAGUAGCUCCGAUAGAAACAUUCCCUCCUCGAUAGAUCCGAUUCCAGAAGUCUCCAAAGAGAAACCUCCUGACUCAGAGCUCCUCUCGCGUCUUUUCAGUCUACUCUGACUCCUCUUUGAGAAGCUUUGAACCACCAAACUCCUGAAAAGGUCCAAAACUUAUACCAAUAGCCAUGGUUUCCCUUUCUCAGUAGACCCGAUUCCAGAAGAAUCCAAAGAGAAACCUUUCUCUCCCUCGACUCCUUUCACCGUCUUCGUCGUCUCUUCCGACUUCUCUCCUAGAAACUCUCAACCAUUGAACCCCUAAAAGUCCCCAAUCAUAACCUCAGAAAUCAGAAACUCCCAAAUCGUAUAAGCUACCACCCUUUGACUGAGACUCCAACAUUCUUGCAAAGAAACCCUCAACUUAAACAAUAGCUGGAGAAAGUGAAUCUAAGGGGUUGAAGAGAAAAAUAAGAGUUGGUGAAGAAGGAACUUCAAAGAAGAAAUUCACUGUUUUAAACUUUUUUAUGGCUUUUAUUCGAUUGUAUGUUGUAUCUAGUUUCUUAAGUACUACAACUUGUGUUUUUGUUUUAUAAGUGCUUUAAAUAUAUUUUCAAAUGCUCAUUUUCCUAAAAUCAAGUUGUGAUGAUUAUACUAUGGCAAUCCAUUUUCCUGUUUAGUUUCUAUAUUAUGAGAUGUUAGUUUAUGUUUUUUAUAAUGAUUUUUAAACUUUUGGUAAUCUAUUUUCGUUUGUAAAUUGUUUGACGUAAACAGUCAUAUUGUUCUAUAAACAAGCCGCAGUAAAAUUGUUGAUACAGCAGUGAUACGGAAUUCUGAUUGUGUUCUGUACCUGUGCACCAAGAGGAACACGGAGCAAGUCAUUGACAAAAUUAUCUGCUACAAGGCAAAGUUUGCUAAAUGGGUUGGGUUGGGCUAUUGUUGAUGAUAA